CUCCUUCCUGGGGUCUGAAUGCAAGCCGUGCUUUUCACAAGGUGUGGAAAAAAAGAGUAUGAACUGCACAGCUGGAUUUGCGAAAAUGAGCCGGUUUUUAUUCUGGGGGGGAAAUCUGGAUUUCUACUGAAAGCUAUGACAAAUAAUUAUUUAAAUUUAAUCACUCGGAAUAGACAUCUCUGCAGAGUUGCUCCGUGCUGUCCUUUGUGACACCUCCGGCUGGUUUUUCCACGCCGGGUGUUUGCAGUUGUGCUCUCAGUUUCAGUUUCCUGCGGUUCCUAUGCAGCAAGUUCAUUUUGUUUGGCUGCUUUUUGCCAUCAGAAAACAAAAACAGGAAGAGAGAAAAACCACUUUCAAAAAUAGGAAAAUGUUUGCACCGUGACAAUGGCUUUGGCAGUGGCUCAGGACCAAUGCAGCACUGGAACUGCUCCGCAAGCCUGCUAAAAUUAUACUGGUGAUCUUUUCCUUGGGACUUGUGUGAAAAUAGGAGAACAUAUAUUGACGGGACAUGGUGCUGAGGCCGAGUCUUUUGCUUUGUAGCUGUGGUGAGUGCUAUAAGAGCAAUGUAUUGGACCUGUUUUAUGAACGGUGCUGCAGGAAGCCUGCUUUGACACAUAGUCCCGCCAGCUCGCUGCCACAAGGGACGCCUCCGAGAGUUCUUCAUUGCUUUGUUCUUCGUGUAAGCAGAACAGAGCUCUGAAGGAAGCUCAUAUCCAGAAGCAGAGAUGCAAAGAACGUGGGACAUGGCGUGUGGGGAAGAGAGAUGUUCUGCUGCUGGGAGUCCAUGUCCUGCUGCCGGUACCAGACGUCUAGGAUCCCGGUUGGCACUGGCACAGGAGGAGAAGGUCUCCUUGUGGUCGCAGGGUGACUGGGAGCCCUUGGUGUUUCGGAUGAACCUUCCAGACUAAAGCCAAAGCAAAGUCCCGGCUGCAGAAACCGGUAGAUGUGCCUCAGCAGUUCAGAAUCGGGGGCGCGCCUACAGAAAGGCAACGUGCCAAAAGUGAAGCUGCACAAUCUGCCACUCCCAGGCAUGCCGCGAUGCAGCAGGACACUACGGCUCUGGGAAAAUCCCUCCAACCUUCCGCAAUGUCAAAUAAACACAUCCUCCGGACCUCCUCGGUGCGCUCUUGCAAUUCCUGUUUUGCAAGAAACCUGAACGGCUCCUUUUUUUUUUUUUUUUUUUUUUUUUUUUUUGUUCAUUAGAAAAGCAAUUCCCUUACAGAAAUUACUUCCCUUUUGGCUCUGGAUCUGGACCUAUAGAGCCUCUGCAAACCAGCCAGCAAAACCCCAGCAGUGUUUGGGCUGCAUUAGCUAAAUUUUCCACUUGUAGGCAAAUAUUAGACUUGGGCUUAGUGGAGGAGAUGCCGUCUGGUGUUACCUGCUUCGGGAGUCCACGUCUGGUACGUGCGCCAGUUGCUCCACAGUCCUCGCUUGGGGUGAAUUUUACAGCUGACCUGAAACUCGUAGGCUGUGUGAGGCUCCAGACCGUGAAGACUGCAUUUUUCACUUAAACUGCAGAUUACCAUGCUCCAAGUGUGCCUGGUAAGCGGACGGUAUCUCAGCCUGCAGUGCCGUGCUUGUGCUUCACCGUGCCAAAAGAAGGUGCAGUUGGUCACAGAAGAAUUUUCAAAUUCCACAAGAAAGUUGGGAGGAUGUGGUUUCACUAGCAGCAAAAACAGAAAGAAGCAAAGAGCGCUCAGAUAUGCAGCGUGGUGCGGAAUGGGAGGUUACGUGGAAAACAGAAUUACUGGUUUAGACUGGAUGGAUGCUUUUUCUGAGUGGUUUAAAUAAGAAAGCGCUCAACAUGUUUUCAGGUCUGUCUAAAGGGCCAGGGCUAACUGAAAGGCAGCAAGUAACGCGUUUACCUAUGUCUAUUAACAUGAACACCAGCGGCUGUGAAAAAGCACUUCCCAGCUCAUUGGAGGCAGCAACCACAACAGUGUAAGUACAGUCAAAAUUCAACUUGCUGAGAGCCAGCGAGCCAAACUUCUUAUUGAGACUUUUUUCUGAAACACAUAAGACAUCCGUCCCAUUUGAUAGCCUGGAACAGAAGGAAAAAUGCUUGGUUAAUAUCUCACCUACGCCAAGACAGCUCAGCCCGGGCUGGGGCUGGCGUGCCGUGGGGCUGGCGUGCCGUGGGGCUGGCGUGCCGUGGGGCUGAGGUGCCCAGCAGCAUGUUGGCUGCCGAGGGAGGACCACGGCGCUGAACACCGGGUAGGACACCUGCCCCUGGACAGGUCUGUCCGCUCAAGGACGGUGGUGACGGUAAAUACUCCUCCAGCUAAAUCAGGUUUUGGGUUUAACUGCAGAAAAGGAAAUACUUCUGGAUUUCCCCUGAGCUGCAAGUAUGUGCGCAGGUUCCUUUUGAUGGUAUAGUGGCUACCUAAUAUUUCUAUAUGAGUGAGCGUAGGUGUCGGUACACAGAAUCUGGGGGGGGAUGAUGGAUUUUGGUUGCUUUUCUUGGUUGUUUUUUACAUGUUAGUGGUUAAAAAUACAAUUUAUCUGUAGUCUAAUGGUCAGGGUGCAUGGCUUCAAACACAACUUCUAAUUCUCAAUCUGUCAUUCAACCAUUGCCUUGGGUAACUCAUUUAGCUUCUCUCUGUAUUUCCUUCCACCUGAACCAGAGACAUUUGUAUUACAUUGCUUCAGGCUGACUUUUUGUAUUUUUUAAUAUAUUUAAUAAUUCACUAGCCAGCACUGCUCGCUCUCUCUGUCACAACAAUUACAGGACUCCAUACCUGCAUUUCUCUGCUCUUCUGCAUGUUACCCAUCUAUUCUCCUUCUGCUUAAAGAGCAGCAACAGGUUUCUACAAGCUAGUAAGAAAGUUACUGCUACUUUGGCCGACAGAAGCAGGUGAAGAAGCAGCAGGUGAAGAAGACCGAACCUUGCAGGCCAAGGAAGUGGUCGACAUGCAGCACCUUGGGAACAACCGGGGGUGAGUUCAGCCUACCCUGCGUCUUGCAAAGAGCAACACUAAUUCAUUCUACCCAGAAAUUUGCUUGAAUAGAGGUUUGUAAUAAGGUUCCUUCUCUGCACAGUGAGUCCCAAAGGUCUCCUAAGGUGCCUUGACAGGCUCUGCCUUGCUCCUUCCCCACAGACUGCCGCAGGAGUCACCACAAUCUAUUUCAGCGAAGGCCCAGCAAAACCAGAGCAAACAAAAAUACAGGUUGGAUCUAAAACAGGAAGCAAAAAUAACACAUUUCCAAGCAAAGUCCCUCUCUGCCUCCUCAGCUAAACUCCAAGACAGUGAGCAGCUCUGCUGGCAGAGUUUCUGGUGCAGGCACUGCCAACCAUGAAGGAGCCCCGCCACAGGAAAGCAGUAGGUUGGAGCAGCCGUUUCCAGCAGUGGCAGGCCUGUCUCUACGGAAGAGAGCAGUGAGGUUCCCUUGGACCUGCAGAGACCUCGCCCUGUGCGGUGUCGUCUGUUCGAGGUGGCCCGGGAUGAUUCCACGCACGGGACACCAGGGCAGGCUGUGGGGCGCCCAGGCUGUGGGCACACCAGUGGCAGAAGAACUACAGGAGCAGCAAGACUAUUACCAGCUGCUUCGGCAGCGCACACACCAAGGAGCCCUUUCCAUAACACCUGAGCUGCCACAGGGAUGCAGCUACUUUGAUAACUUGGUGCCAUCUUGAUAAAGAAAAGCUCCAUGCAAAGCAAGAGUCUGUUCUCAGAGUCUUAUCACGGAACCUGCGGGAGCAACCGCGCACCGCUGGGAAGAGGAGGAACGUUUCUCACCGGGAUAUUUCACCCAGAAAAAUACGGUAUUUGUGCCCAAACUGUGCUGUUGCUUAUGUGUCCCUAGUAACACUAACUGCAUUUUUAGGUAAACUUUGCACCAUGGGUGGCUGGCUGCCACCGGCCCAGCAUGGACAGCAGCACUCACAGCCUUGGUGCCAUCCUGCCUGAGGUCAGUGCCUUUCACCAGAGCUACCAAGCACGAGUACUGCUGCCCAGUGCAGGCUCGAGUUAUGCUCUGCAAAACCAGAACUGGCGUGAUUUCAAACCAGAACGCCUUUAGGAGUUCGUCUGGAAGCUCAUCUCACGGUGCUGACGAGGCCUGCUCCAUCCCUUCCCCUCGCUGCAGGUAGUGAAUAUAGUGAAUAUAAAGUGGAUGUAACUGAUGUAAUGAAAUUUGAAUGUAUACUAUGGCGGCAAUUCAUGCUCAGCUUCUGGAAGUGAAUGACAAAAUAAAAUCUCUGGGAUCAAAAGUGUGCAUAAAAGGAGACUUUUGUAGCAAACCAAACCAGAAGACCAGGAAUGGCUCAUUCAGCCAUUGUGCGUAUCGGCUUUGUAAGGAAGAAAAUAAAAGCUAUCUAAAAAUGUAAGACGUUUCAAAUGGUGCAAAGCUGCCUCUUUUCCAACUAUUUUAAUGCAAAUCAGAGAAAGUUAAAGUUGACAGUUGAAGAAGGCUGGCUGGAGCCCAGUCAGAAAAUAGGCAAGUGCUAAUGUGAAAAGUACUACUGAAGGAAACAGAAUUCAAAUUAAAAAGUGAAAUGAGCAGGUGCAGCCCUUGCACUCUCUGGUUUUGUCAGGUUCUGUGCCUGGAAAUAACCUUGAGAAAGAAGAAUGGUGAAGGAAUGGUGGUGACUCAUCAGCAUCGAAAUGACAAGAGUGACAGAGCGCUGGGGCUCAGUUACUGGGUGCUUCAAAACAGCAAGCGAAUGUGAGUAUAUCCCAAAGCCCCUGCUGUGGUGGUCAUCAGUGGUCACUCAGGAAGGGGUAGUGUUUGUUUAUUUAAUGUAUUUCCUCCAGAAUAUUCUCUGGAGUUCUUGUUUUUACCACAUUCUCUAGUCCAGCUUAGGAAGAGCUGUUGGGAUGGUGUUCGCAUCCCCACUCUUUCAAAGGUAUGCCGCGAUAUUUUGUCUUCAGUUUGCAUUUGACGUAAUUCUGGUUUUGUUAAGUCAGCAAGGACAAAUAAUUAUUAAAAAAAACCUGGAUUUUUUUUUUCUGCCUGCUUGAAGACCUCAGGAGUUCAGGGCCUGCUUUCAGGCUGGCACCUCUUACCCAGUAGAAGGGUCACUCCUCCCAGCUUGCUCUUUUUUUCUAGAUUUCUCUGAAUAUCUGUUGGUUUCUCGCCCUGUUUCCGGUGAUGAGGUUCCAGGACAGAGUACAGUUUCUAGAUCUGAUUGUAGCAGGGACGGCACUGGCAAAGCGCCAUGGCAGAGCUGUACCGAGUGAGGGGUCUCUGGCCCCGCUGCCAGCACGGCGCUGAGCCUACUGUCAGAACUGUAGUCGUGUUUUGUUGCAAUUUCAUAUUUAGUCUGUGCAUUUUUGCAGCGCUGCCAACCCUCCAUCAUCGGCCCCUCUCCCCGUGGAUGAGAAGGUCCUCGGUUCUUCAGUGCUAAGCUUUUGCUGCUGGUUUCAACAGUGGGGGAAAGCCUUCUCAAUGGCAUGGCCACUGCGGGCAGCUGAGGACGGGGGCUUCUGGAGCAGACAGAGCCGGCGGCACGAACACAGGGCACGUCAGCCCUCUGUGGUCACCACCCCAGCGUGCAGCACCAGUGCCAAAGCCUUUGAACCACUCAAGAAGCUGAAAGAAGGUAAGGUUAAUUCUGUGUUGAAUAUGAGGAUCAACAAAGCCAAAUCACAGGUAAUUCGGAAUUACGAGCAGUUCUUUGAUCCAAUUUGCUGUGCAGGGCCGUGACUGACGUCAGUGUGGUGGAAGAGGUGGGACGGUGGUGGAGGGGACACAGCUGCUCAGGCUGCUGGGUGUCAAACCACAGCCCGAGCACACACCGCUCUGCUUCCACGAACCGAGCUUGGUUUGCUCAUUCCUGCUGCCUCUCCUGCUGCCGCAGCUUUGGCUGCUUCAGUGACGCCCAGCUGCUCGGCUGCCAGGCUCCUUGCGACCUGGGCAGGGCAGUUUUGGUCCGCGGCACCACAGUGAUGCUGAAGUCGCUGCUACAGCAGUAGAAUAGGCAACAAUCCACCGCGUGCUCGUCUGUCUUCAGUACUGCGGGCAGCCUGCACGUGGGCUCUGUUCGUUUGACAUCCACCGUGUGUGCCAGGGGCUCUCACUGAAGUUACCUUAACCCAGGGGGAUGAAAUCAGUUCCUUUGGUAAAUGCAAUUAUCCGGCCUCCUCGUGAGCAGGUAACCGAGCUGAGGGAGGCAGAAUUCCCAGGGAGAGCACGGGCCAGGCAGUGCCGCUCUAGAAAAUGGUCUGGAUGAUGUGCGAAGCACAGCAUCGCCCUGCAUCCUUUAAGAGGUUAACAGCUGUGGGUUUUUCUAAUGUUCUUGUGGCAAGAUUAAUUCCUCCCUGUUAAGGAAAGGCUUGGCUGGCUUGAUGAGCGGCAAUCCUGAAAUCUCCUUUAAGUAGAUCACUUCCAUAGUUUGUUUUCUAUUCACUGUGUUCAAUGCCUGCUUUGAUCUUUUAUCCGAAUCCCGCUCCCAUUGCUUUGCAAGUGACAUUUUCAUGGGAUUUAGCUCUGUGAAGCUGACACUCUGAAGCCCCUCAAGACACAAGCCACAGCCUCACUUCUCACAUCCUCUUCUAUGAAACGCAGGCUUGGUUUCAGUCUCUGCUGCUGUGCUCAGCCCUUUUGCCCUGUGAACAACUCCUCCUCUUCCCUCUUACAGAAUUAAUCCUCCUGAAGGCUAAGGAAUGGAAAAGGCCAUACCAAAUAGCAUCAUUGCUAAUGAACGUUCCUGCUUUCGUUAUGUGGCCAUUUCAUCGGCUGUCAUUUUUCCACUGCUGCAUUUUCAGAAGGCUUUUGCUGAUCCAGGCGUCUAUUUGCAGCUUUGCUCACAAGCGUUGGUCACGAUCUGGGCUUUGAUCUUUCAGCUGUGCAUUCAGAAACCCCCAGCGGGACACUGUUGUUAUUUAGCUUUGUGAAACGUUGAUGGUUUUAAUCCAGUUUUAGUCCCUGCAGCCUAUUUAUCUGCCACUAAAUCUCUUCCACGAUUUGCUGAAAACCAAAUGCUGGCAGACCUGUCAGCGUGGAGUAGUCUGGCCAAUGCAUACACAGAAUAAAAACCGGUGGCACAAGAUCGCUCCGAAUACUCUUACCUUCAUAUUCUUGUACUGUUCCUGUUGCCAAGUGCUGUACGGUGCUUUCAGACUUUAGAUCCUGAGGCUUUAUCAGAGGCAGUAGUUGUGACUGUCCGGCCCCGGUGGCUAAGGAAUGGAGGCAGAGGGGCUUGGCGGAGGUCAUGCAGCCGGCUGGUGACCGAGCUGAGACCAAAGCCCAGCUCUCCUGUGCUUCAGAUGCUAAAGCAGCACGAGUGACAUCCUCCUGCAAAAAGCCUGGUAAUGGUGGCGGAGCAGCAGCAUAAAUGAUUUAGAAUUGUGGCUAUUGAUGCAUAUUUAAUGCAUAAUUGAUUAUGUGUUAUUUAUUAUUUCUUUAUUCUGCAUUUCAUGUAAUUCAUUUUCAAGCCUGCUUUUGGAAGAAGGCUGGUGAGCCUUCUGUCCCAGCUGUCCCAGUGGGGCAGUGCCAGUGGCUGCUCUGUGUCACACUGUUGGGAACUCCUCCGGCCAGGCGGGAGGCUGGCGGGCUGGGGGCUGGCACCCCAGCGGGACCAGCAGCUCACACCUGACGUGCCCGGUACUGGUGCGACGGGGUGGAGAUAAAAGCAGGCAGCGGGUGGCUCUGCUGCUCCCUGGGCUGGCUGGCGCCUGGAAGAGACUACACCCAAUUUCUUAUUUGUUUUUAAUUUGUUCUCUCCUUCCAUUUAUCUAAAAAUAGGCCUGUGCACAGCAGUGAGGCACAGCCUGACGGUGCAUCUCUGCGGGUCAGCAGCGAUUUUGCUUUGAUAUGGAAUGACGUUACGCCGCGAUGGACGGCAGCUGCCAGCUUGCACCAAAACUCCUCUCGCUGAGCUCCUCCUCAGGCUGGCGAGGGCCACCUCUGCAGGCCUCCAGCUGCCUCCGCUGGGGGACUGUGGCACCACGGUGUGGGGUCACGGCUCCUUUACGUCAAGGGACGUGGGAUCACCGCUUCUGCACAACAAAAAAGCCUGCCUUGUGCAAAGCCCCCCAGCUAUAACUUCGACAGCAGCCACUUUCUCCGUGUUACUCAUUCGGCACAAAAAGAAAAUGUCAUCAAAUAAUUGCAUACAUGUUCCACUCGCAGAUGGGUUUGCAGUCUCGCGCACGUUAGAGCGAUGGUGUUUUGGUGCAUGCCGUCCAUGGGCAGAGACAUUACCCAGCAUAUCGUUCCUUUUCAUGCCUCCAAGGUCUAUAAACCCAUGUUGCAAUGAAGCUGAACAACCCCUGAAGCUCACUGUCAAACUGAUAAAUAACCUGCAGAAAUCACAGACACAAGGUACGGCUGCCAACAAUACAACUGAACUUAGGAAAAGCUUUAGAAGAUACCAAUGUCAAGAAUUAGAGAGCACGUAAUAUUUGAGGGAGGGUGUGAACCCUGAGAUGCUAAGAUAAACGGAUCCAGAGCAACACCAUGGUUUGAAAACACUGGGCCAUCCGUAUGUCCAAGGGUCGCUCACUACAAGGACCUGGGUGUUGGACUUGCGUGCCCACAGCCCGAUCCCCAUCACUCACGGUGCUGCUUUACAUCCCUGAGUACCACCCUUGGUGGAAAGAAGGCACUGGCAGGAUGCAAAGGGCUUUCCAAAGGCAAAGCAAGAAAGACAAACAGCCCAGCAAAAAGCAUGUCUGACAAGUAAAAAUCUGGAACUGAGGACACAAUGUGGCAUCGGGAUAUUGGGCGAUGAUCAAAAUUCCUGCUGUCUUCACACACUGGUCAAUUUAACCAGCGAUGCGUUCGUUGCCAGAGGUGAGCAUCACGGGUAUCCAUCCCAGAUCAAGCCUGUCACUUCUUUUAAACCCUUGGUAGAAACAAGCACUGUCCAAAUGGGUUAGAAGGGAGGGAGGGGGGGGGGCCAUAUUGUGUAUUAGUAUCAAACAGUUCAGUUGGAACAUAUAUAUACAUACAUAUAUACACACACACACAUAUAUUUGUGCCCUUUCCAUUUUCUCCAGUAACCAGUCCGUAUUUACCAGGAUGUGUUCAUGCACCCAUGUAAAGGAGAAAUAUUUCCUUCAGCCCGCAGGAAAUCAGCGGCAGCUUUGCCAGCGGUGGGCAGGCACGCGUGGUGAGAGCAGGGCAGUAUUUCAGCCCUGCGCCACUGUGUGCCCGGGGCUGCCGAGAGGAGAGGAGCUGCGCAGCUCUGCCCACAGGUGUGCCCACGGGUGCCCAGCCUGGAGGGAGUUAGUGGAGCAGGAAGCUCAACCAGCAGGCGCCUGAAAGACAUCAGGAUUACAAAACCAACCGACAGCGUGACCACGCUGAUGCCCAGUCCCAGGAGCACUCCAAUGUCACCAUCUGGGAAGGACGGAGAGGAAAGCCAUCAGCCGGGUGCCCCGCUCCGGGCUUUCACUGGGAAGCACACACCUCUGCUCGAGCGGCCGCCAGUGUUUCCCCUACCCUUUGGCUCCUCUGUUCCUGCAGCAAAGCCCCGAGAAAAGCAAAACCAAACAUGCUGCCCCACCAUGCCGUGCUAUCUCGGAGAGGAGCGCUCGCUGCCUUCAGCCAUUUCCUACAUAGCCUUACUUUCCAGAGUCGCCGAACUGAAUUCUUUGGCUUACAUUCGCUUUGCUUUUGCUUUAAGUGCUGCAGCAGAUGGUAACGUGCGCUUUACCAGAAGAUGUGCAAAGCAGAGCAUAACCAGAGUUAGAAAAAAUGGAUGGGAAAUGCUUAAAUGAGUUUCUGCUUCCAACUGCAAGAUGGAAACAGUCUAUCGCUGUGGUCUUAUACGUCAACAUCAUCUUGUAUUUGCCUGGUUUGCUUCUCUCCUACUUGUUGUAAUGUACAUUAUACUACAAGUCUCAUAAACAAGCAGAACUUAAGGCACGCAUUACACGGGCACAAUUCAUCCCUGAGAGCACCGCAGCCUUUCCUGCCCUGUGGCUCAUGUCCCCACCAGGUGAAAAGAUGCUUUUCUGGCUCUGACCUCUCCAAAGUGCAAGGGAACUUUUGCGUCCCCAUCGCCAGAUGCGGCAGGCGCUGCUCAGGCUAGAACUCCUGGUUCUGUGCAAGGCGAAAGUCGGGCUUACCCAGUUUGAGCUCCUGUCUGCUUACCGUGGGAGAUCUCGCUGGAGGUGCUGCCCAGGAGCUGGUCCUCUGCAGGGACUUCAACAGAGAGAGGAAAAAAAUGUCCGAAACUUCAUUUAGAGGGCAGCAGGUGAUACAGAAGCUAUGGCUUGUUUUUAUUUUGUCAAUAACACUUAGAAAAAUAAAUAAUGGUAUAGUGAGAAAAAUAAAGCCCCCUAAAGCAAAUGGUAA